rnacentral:rRNA from 1 species
AGCGUAGACGGCUGUGCAAGUCUGAAGUGAAAGGCAUGGGCUCAACCUGUGGACUGCUUUGGAAACUGUGCAGCUAGAGUGUCGGAGAGGUAAGUGGAAUUCCUAGUGUAGCGGUGAAAUGCGUAGAUAUUAGGAGGAACACCAGUGGCGAAGGCGGCUUACUGGACGAUGACUGACGUUGAGGCUCGAAAGGCGUGGGAGCAAACA